rnacentral:rRNA from 1 species
AUUGAACGCUGGCGGCAGGCCUAACACAUGCAAGUCGAGCGAGCGGCGGACGGGUGAGUAAUGUAUGGGGACUGCCCGAUAGAGGGGGAUAACUACUGGAAACGGUGGCUAAUACCGCAUACUAUCGGAUAACCCAUAUGGGAUUAGCUAGUAGGUGGGGUAAAGGCUCACCUAGGCGACGCUCCCUAGCUGGUCUGAGAGGGUGAUCAGCCACACUGGGACUGAGACACGGCCCAGACUCCUACGGAGGCAGCAGUGGGGAAUAUUGGACAAUGGGCGCAAGCCUGAUGCAGCAAUGCCGCGUGUAUGAAGAAGGCCUUAGGAUUGUAAAGUACUGUUAGCAGAGAAGCGUUACCCGCACAAGAAGCACCGGCUAACUCCGUGCCAGCAGCCGCGGUAAUAC